rnacentral:rRNA from 1 species
AGUGAACGCUGGCGGUAGGCCUAACACAUGCAAGUCGAACGGCAGCACAGUAAGAGCUUGCUCUUACGGGUGGCGAGUGGCGGACGGGUGAGGAAUACAUCGGAAUCUACUUUUUCGUGGGGGAUAACGUAGGGAAACUUACGCUAAUACCGCAUACGACCUACGGGUGAAAGCAGGGGAUCUUCGGACCUUGCGCGAUUGAAUGAGCCGAUGUCGGAUUAGCUAGUUGGCGGGGUAAAGGCCCACCCAGGCGACGAUCCGUAGCUGGACUGAGAGGAUGAUAAGCCACACUGGAACUGGGACACGGUCCAGACUCCUACGGGAGGCACCAGUGGGGAAUAUUGGACAAUGGGCGCGAGCCUGAUCCAGCCAUACCGCGUGGGUGAAGAAGGCCUUCGGGUUGUAAAGCCCUUUUGUUGGGAAAGAAAAGCAGCAGGUUGAUACCCCGCUGUUCUGACGGUACCCAAAGAAUAAGCACCGGCUAACUUCGUG